CUCAGUUCGGAUCGGAGUCUGCAACCCGACUCCGUGAAGCUGGAUUCGCUGUAAUCGCGCAUCAGCCAUGGCGCGGUGAAUACGUUCCCGGGCCUUGUACACACCGCCCGUCAAGCCAUGGGAGCCGGGGGUGCUUGAAGUGCGUCGCCGCAAGGCGCGCCCUAGAGCAAAACCGGUGACUGGGGCUAAGUCGUAACAAGGUAGC
rnacentral:rRNA from 1 species